AACGAACGCUGGCGGCAUGCCUAACACAUGCAAGUCGAACGAGACCUUCGAGUCUAGUGGCGCACGGGUGCGUAACGCGUGGGAACCUGCCCUUAGGUUCGGAAUAACUCCCCGACAGGGGUGCUAAUACCGGAUAAUGUCUUCGGACCAAAGAUUUAUCGCCAUUGGAUGGGCCCGCGUUGGAUUAGCUAGUUGGUAGGGUAAAAGCCUACCAAGGCGACGAUCCAUAGCUGGUCUGAGAGGAUGAUCAGCCACACUGGGACUGAGACACGGCCCAGACUCCUACGGGAGGCAGCAGUGGGGAAUAUUGGACAAUGGGCGAAAGCCUGAUCCAGCAAUGCCGCGUGAGUGAUGAAGGCCUUAGGGUUGUAAAGCUCUUUUACCCGGGAUGAUAAUGACAGUACCGGGAGAAUAAGCUCCGGCUAACUCCGUG
rnacentral:rRNA from 1 species